UACGUAGGGAGCAAGCGUUGUUCGGAAUUAUUGGGCGUAAAGAGCGCGUAGGCGGUUCGGUAAGUCUGACGUGAAAUCCCGGAGCUUAACUCCGGAACUGCGUUGGAUACUGCCGAGCUUGAGUGUGGGAGAGGAGAGUGGAAUUCCCAGUGUAGAGGUGAAAUUCGUAGAUAUUGGGAGGAACACCCGUGGCGAAGGCGGCUCUCUGGACCACAACUGACGCUGAGGCGCGAAAGCUAGGGUAGCAAACGGG
rnacentral:rRNA from 1 species